rnacentral:tRNA from 4 species
GGGCCCGUAGCUCAGUUGGCUAGAGCGCCUCGUUUGCACCGAGGAGGUCACAGGUUCGAUUCCUGCCGGGUCCACCA